rnacentral:lncRNA from 1 species
GACUCGCCGCUGCCGGGAUGCGGGGCCGCUUUUCUCAUUGCCACGGGCUCCCGGACCCUACGUGCACACCCACCCGUAGGCUUGGGGGCCUUUGCCCGGGGCUCAUCAUCGGUGGUAGUGGGGAUAAGGAGAAAGGCGGGGGCAUCUCUCUCCAGGGAGGCCCGUCCCCCCCCCCCCCCCCCCCCCGCCUCGGCUCCCGCAGGAAGAAGACUCUAGAGCCAGGCUGCAACAGGGUCCCGAAGGGUAAUCCAUGGCCCCAUCCGGUUCAGGGCAUCGCCCGACUGAGCCUCCCAGCCGUAUAGGACAGAAAGAACUCCCGGAGAAGAUGGCAGCCCUGCUGACCUCCCGGUCAUCCUCAAGCCCCCAGCUGGAGAGAGUGGAGGUCAAGUCGGAGCGAGAGCCCCAAAAUGAGUUGGAGCGGAGCCCAGAGCCAGGAUCAGAGGAACAGCUGAGCCCCGACCUGGAGAUAGAAUCCGCGGCGGACCAGGAGAGGGCUUUGCCCGUUCCAUGGGUUCCAGCCAUUCCCAAGGAAGAAAGCCUUGAGGAUGAGGUGACAACUGAGUAUCUUCUACCCAAGCCCCAGGUAAGCUGCUGAUCUGCCUUCCUGAGAUGAAGCUCAAAACUUCCCCCUCCCGACUCGAUUCUACUCGCAUCACCCCCACCAUCCUCCCCACCAAGAAGAGGCGAGUUAAGAUUGCAGCACCAGGGACAGAAGUUAGCCCAAAGGAACUGCUUCCUGUUUGUCAGCAUUACUGUCACUGAAUUCAGUGCUAUCUUGCCUGAGGUAGGGAAGGGAGGAGAGCGGGAUUUUCUGCAGGGCCUAACCAGGUUUAGGAGUCCACGAUCGCGAACUCGGGAUUUACAUGGAGUUUUCCUCAAGUCCCUCUUCCCACCAAGUCUGGCCUCAUCCUAGGGAUUUCUGGGAUUCUCCAUAGCUUUCUCCUUUGCCUCUCCACCUUCCUCUAGGACUGGGCUUAGGAACCUGGGGCAUAGCCUGGCUGGUAAGAUGCCCACUGAGCCACUAGUGGCUGGUUCCUGCAGUGAAAUUCCACAACUGACCUCCCCUCUUCCCCAGGGUCCUCCCCAGUAACGGGAAUUGGACUGAGAGUGCAACAGAAGGGAAUGAGGGUUAUCCCUCUUCCCCAGGUCCUCUCUCAGCAUUUCCA